rnacentral:rRNA from 2 species
CAACCUGCCGUAAAGAUGGGGACAACAGUCCGAAAGGACUGCUAAUACCGAAUGUUGUAAAUCUUCCGCAUGGAAGAUUUACUAAAGGUGGCCUCUACUUGUAAGCUAUCGCUUUACGAUGGGUCUGCGUCUGAUUAGCUGGUUGGUGGGGUAACGGCCUACCAAGGCGACGAUCAGUAGCCGGUCUGAGAGGAUGAACGGCCACAUUGGAACUGAGACACGGUCCAGACUCCUACGGGAGGCAGCAGUGGGGAAUCUUCCGCAGUGGGCGCAAGCCUGACGGAGCAACGCCGCGUGAGUGAAGAAGGGUUUCGACUCGUAAAGCUCUGUUGUCGGGGACGAACGUGGAGACGGCGAAUAGUCGUUUCCAAUGACGGUACCUGACGAGGAAGCCACGGCUAACUACGUGCCAGCAGCCGCGGUAAUACGUAGGUGGCGAGCGUUGUCCGGAAUUAUUGGGCGUAAAGGGAGCGCAGGUGGGAAGGUAAGUCUAUCUUAAAAGUGCGGGGCUCAACCCCGUGAGGGGAUGGAAACUAUCUUUCUUGAGUGCAGGAGAGGAAAGCGGAAUUCCUAGUGUAGCGGUGAAAUGCGUAGAUAUUAGGAGGAACACCAGUGGCGAAGGCGGCUUUCUGGACUGUAACUGACGCUGAGGCUCGAAAGCGUGGGGAGCGAACAGGAUUAGAUACCCUGGUAGUCCACGCCGUAAACGAUGAAUGCUAGGUGUAGUAGGUAUCGACCCCUUCUGUGCCGGAGUUAACG